UACGAAGGGGGCUAGCGUUGCUCGGCAUCACUGGGCGUAAAGCGCACGUAGGCGGACUCUUAAGUCGGUGGUGAAAUCCUGGAGCUCAACUCCAGAACUGCCUUUGAUACUGAAGAUCUUGAGUUCGGGAGAGGUGAGUGGAACUGCGAGUGUAGAGGUGAAAUUCGUAGAUAUUCGCAAGAACACCAGUGGCGAAGGCGGCUCACUGGCCCGAUACUGACGCUGAGGCACGAAAGCGUGGGGAGCAAACAGG
rnacentral:rRNA from 1 species